UUUUAUUGGAGAGUUUGAUCCUGGCUCAGGACGAACGCUGGCGGCGUGCCUAAUACAUGCAAGUCGAGCGCGGGAAGCAGGCU
rnacentral:rRNA from 1 species